rnacentral:rRNA from 1 species
UGCUGGAGGUAUCAGAAGUGCGAAUGCUGACAUAAGUAACGAUAAUGCGGGUGAAAAACCCGCACGCCGGAAGACCAAGGGUUCCUGUCCAACGUUAAUCGGGGCAGGGUGAGUCGACCCCUAAGGCGAGGCCGAAAGGCGUAGUCGAUGGGAAACAGGUUAAUAUUCCUGUACUUGGUGUUACUGCGAAGGGGGGACGGAGAAGGCUAUGUUAGCCGGGCGACGGUUGUCCCGGUUUAAGCAUGUAGGCGGAGGUUCCAGGUAAAUCCGGUACCUUAUUAACGCUGAGGUGUGAUGACGAGGCACUACGGUGCUGAAGUAACAAAUGCCCUGCUUCCAGGAAAAGCCUCUAAGCAUCAGGUAACACGAAAUCGUACCCCAAACCGACACAGGUGGUCAGGUAGAGAAUACCAAGGCGCUUGAGAGAACUCGGGUGAAGGAACUAGGCAAAAUGGUGCCGUAACUUCGGGAGAAGGCACGCUGAUAUGUAGGUGAAGUGAUUUACUCAUGGAGCUGAAAUCAGUCGAAGAUACCAGCUGGCUGCAACUGUUUAUUAAAAACACAGCACUGUGCAAACACGAAAGUGGACGUAUACGGUGUGACGCCUGCCCGGUGCCGGAAGGUUAAUUGAUGGGGUUAUCCGUAAGGAGAAGCUCUUGAUCGAAGCCCCGGUAAACGGCGGCCGUAACUAUAACGGUCCUAAGGUAGCGAAAUUCCUUGUCGGGUAAGUUCCGACCUGCACGAAUGGCGUAAUGAUGGCCAGGCUGUCUCCACCCGAGACUCAGUGAAAUUGAACUCGCUGUGAAGAUGCAGUGUACCCGCGGCAAGACGGAAAGACCCCGUGAACCUUUACUAUAGCUUGACACUGAACACUGGUCCUUGAUGUGUAGGAUAGGUGGGAGGCUUUGAAGUGUGGACGCCAGUCUGCAUGGAGCCAACCUUGAAAUACCACCCUUUAAUGGCUGGUGUUCUAACGUGGACCCGUAAUCCGGGUUGCGGACAGUGUCUGGUGGGUAGUUUGACUGGGGCGGUCUCCUCCUAAAGAGUAACGGAGGAGCACGAAGGUUAGCUAAUCCUGGUCGGACAUCAGGAGGUUAGUGCAAAGGCAUAAGCUAGCUUGACUGCGAGAGUGACGGCUCGAGCAGGUGCGAAAGCAGGUCUUAGUGAUCCGGUGGUUCUGAAUGGAAGGGCCAUCGCUCAACGGAUAAAAGGUACUCCGGGGAUAACAGGCUGAUACCGCCCAAGAGUUCAUAUCGACGGCGGUGUUUGGCACCUCGAUGUCGGCUCAUCACAUCCUGGGGCUGAAGUAGGUCCCAAGGGUAUGGCUGUUCGCCAUUUAAAGUGGUACGCGAGCUGGGUUUAGAACGUCGUGAGACAGUUCGGUCCCUAUCUGCCGUGGGCGCUGGAGAAUUGAGGGGGGCUGCUCCUAGUACGAGAGGACCGGAGUGGACGCAUCACUGGUGUUCGGGUUGUCAUGCCAAUGGCAUUGCCCGGUAGCUAAAUGCGGAAGAGAUAAGUGCUGAAAGCAUCUAAGCACGAAACUUGCCCCGAGAUGAGUUCUCCCUGAGACUUUAAGUCUCCUGAAGGAACGUU